GAAUGUGUAUGUGUGUAUGUGUGUGUGAUAGUUGGAAUGUGGAAUACGACCGACAGGUGCAUCGAUGCGAUGCAAUGCGCGUGCGGAAACACGCAAACUGUAUUGUCGUUACAUCGGAAAGCUGCUCACGCACGCGAUGGGAUAAUAUUGUCUUUAUGGGGAGCAAACCGUCUGCUUAAAUUACACACCUUACCUCGCUUACAUCUUAGAAACAAACUACGUGAUGGAUAGAUAAAUAAA
rnacentral:lncRNA from 1 species